rnacentral:rRNA from 1 species
CAGUCGCCGCGGGAAUACGGAGGGUGCAAGCGUUGUCCGGAUUUAUUGGGUUUAAAGGGUGCGUAGGCGGCUAUUUAAGUCAGCGGUGAAAGACUCCGGCUCAACCGGAGCAGUGCCAUUGAUACUGGAUAGCUUGAGUGUUGGAGGGGUACAUGGAAUUGAUGGUGGAGCGGUGAAAUGCGUUGAGAUCGGAAAGAACACCAACGGCGAAAGCACUCUGCUGGGCCGACACUGACACUGAGAGACGAAAGCUAGGGGAGCAAAUGGGAUUAGAUACCCGUGUAGUCCCUGUCUCUUAUAC